GCGGCGAUAGCUCAGUGGGUAAAGCGCCAUGUGAGGCGAUUACUCUGAGAGCUAUUGUCUGCGCGGAUUUGAAUUUUGAAUCCCGCUUGUGGCA